UGCACUGGAAAGUAUAGGUGCCCUGGAAGAGACCCAUCCCUAUGGGUGAAUGAAUCCAGGAGUCCUACCCAACACUGGGUAUGUAGACUACACUUGCCAACCGCCUCAGCCUCCCAAGACCUAG